rnacentral:rRNA from 1 species
AAUAAACGCUGGCGGCGUGCCUAACACAUGCAAGUCGAACGAGAAACUCCGGGCUUGCUCGGAGGAGUAAAGUGGCGCACGGGUGAGUAACGCGUGGGUAACCUGCCCUUGAAUCUGGGAUAACUUUGCGAAAGCAUUGCUAAUACCGGAUAUUGUUCCUAAAACCGUGGUUUGAGGAAUAAAAGGUGACCUAUUCAUGAAAGUUGCCGUUCAAGGAGGGGCUCGCGUACCAUUAGCUUGUUGGUAGGGUAAUGGCCUACCAAGGCUACGAUGGUUAGCUGGUCUGAGAGGAUGAUCAGCCACACUGGAACUGAAACACGGUCCAGACUCCUACGGGUGGCUG